UUUACCGAGAGCGAACUCGGUCGAAUGGCGUUGGUGUGUACGGCAUGGCCGUACGGGGCUAGUAUGAGUUGCAGGAGUGCGACGGAAAGGGUUAUUUUCGCAAGUUCAUGUUGUCAGGUUUCCGUUGCGGCUUCUGCCUAACCUACAGCUAGUAUCCGGAAGCAGAGUCGCAAUCGGUAACCAGGCUCACCUACUCUUUAUGGAAGCAAGCACACGCUGUCCUGCUUGUUCGUACGAUCUCUAAGCGAUAAGGCAACUAACUACUCACGAAAGCGAGCCCUCGUAAUGCCUAGUGUACUUAUAGGGACGAUAUACACCCAGGGCGCGAGCUAUAGACGAGCAAUAAUUUUACAGGCCAGGCUUCGAGGAACAAACAGUGUCUGACUGCAGUAGCUGUGGUAUAGUACGGCGGCGCACAAAACAGCAAUAAACAAGUGCUAAGUCUGUGAAAUACUUGAGCGUCUACAAAUUGCGGCCUGGUAUAUUAGAUUGGGACCGUCUAUUCUGUUAUACCAGGGUGCCAUCUAUAGACAAUCAUAACAUUCACAGACGUUACGCGAUCCGCAAGCAUCUUGAGAGGCUGGUUGCACUCUCAGCAACCAGCCAGCUACUGCAAUAAAGGCGUCAUCACAUUUACUUUGCUAUCAAUCUCCUUAUGCGGCUUAUGCGGCUUAUGCGGCUAGUGAGCGAUCGAGGUUAACCUUAAGGUUUGAAGGCACGCAAAUGUGUUGAUUGGCUGAGUCCUUCGAGAUAGCUUACUACCCAGGCAAGGUAAGUAGCCUGCUCAUUACAUUUGCGUGAACCAGUUCAGUACCGCACUCAAUUGUCGUAGUUUAUACAGAUGCAUGCAUGCAUAUUGCUAGCUGACCAGGAACUAAGUUGAUGCGCCGUUGAUCCGCUAGAUUUGGUUGGAUGCUGGUGGUGAGUUGCUGAACCCAACGAAUACAUUCUGAAGUCGGAUGGGGUGAACGGUUUAGGGUGCCCCUCUAGCAGGGGAGAGCAGGAAACUGCCUCGGGAAAGGGGGCCGCUGGUGAAGCUUUACCACCCUGUAACAACAUACAUAUUCGUACUUAUCACGUACCUUUCACGUAUAGGCACGACCCCAGAGCUGCUGUCUGGGGCGUGGCGCUCCUCUUGACCCAGCCGGCGGUGUUAAAGGCUUUGCAGCUGGGAUUACUGUUGCAGGUGGCCAGCGCAUUGGCCCCAAAGUUUCCGAUGUCGUCACCGUAGCGAUCCACGUCUGGCUUGGAGAUGUAUCCAUAAUACUGCUGGCACACAGUCGCUGGAUGCAGAAAGAAGAAGGGAUUGGAUCAUGCAGGUCACACCCACACAUACAUGAAAAUGUACAUAUGCGCACUUCAGCGUGUCGCUGGUUUGCACACAAACAUACCGAUCGUCACCAUUCCCCUGCAUGAACGUACCCUUCUUCACGUACAGACACGACCCUGGAGCAGCUGUCUGGGGCGUGGCGCUCCUCUUGACCCAGCCGGCGGUGUUGAAGGCCUUGCAGCUGGGAUCACCGCUGCACUGGGCCAGCGCAUUGGCCCCGAAGUUUCCGAUAUCGUCACCGUACCGAUCCACGUUCGGGAUUGAGGUGUAUCCAGCAUACUGUUCGCACACUGCAGAGCAGGGUAACAGAGGUCAUAGGCAGCAGGUAGCUUGAUUGCAUUCAUGGUAUGGUGUAACAUCCCGGGCAUAUAUCUGUCCCCAUUGUUGUGGAUCUCAACAUCAGCGUGUGCACAAGUAGUCUUUUUCUGGUAAGGCAGGAUUGAAGAUACGAUGUGCUUACAGAGGGGUAUGGCUGCAUUUGUGGUGUGUUUUCUGAGUGAAACGAAAUUAAACCAAGGUUUAAUGUGUGUUUACCGAGAGCGAACUCGGUCGAAUGGCCGUACUGGGCUAGUUAUGUCGCAGAAGUGUGACGGAAGGUGUUAUUUUCGCAAGUUCAUGUUGUCAGGUUUUCGUUGCGGCUUCUGCCUAACCUACAGCUAGUAUCCGGAAGCAGAGUCGCAAACAUGCCGUCCUGCUUCUCCUUACGAUCCCUAAGCGGUAAGGCAACUAACGAAAGCGAGCCCUCGUAAUGCCUAGUGUACUUAUAGGGACGUUAUACACCCAGGGCGCGAGCAAUAGACGAGCAAUAAUUUACAGACGAGGCUUCGAGGAACGAACAGUGUCUGACUGCAGUAGCUGUGGUAUAGUACGGCGGCGCACACAACAGCAAUAAACAAGCGAACUACUAGUAAAGCGAUCCGCAAGCAUCUUGAGAGGCUGGUUGCACUCUCAGCAACCAGCCAGCUACUGCAAUAAAGGCUCAUCACAUUUACUUUGCUAUCAAUCUCCUUUUGCGUCUUAUGCGGCUUAUGCGGCUAGUGAGCGAUCGAGGUUAACCUUAAGGUUUGAAUGCAUGCAAAUGUGUUGAUUGGCUGAGUCCUUCGAGAUAGCUUACUACCCAGGCAAGGUAAGUAGCCUGCUCAUUACAUUUGCGUGAACCAGUAAGUACCGCACUCAAUUGUCGUGGUAUAUACAGAUGCAUGCAUGCAUAUUCGUACUUAUCACGUACCUUUCACGUACAGACACGACCCUGGAGCAGCUGUCUGGGGCGUGGCGCUCCUCUUGACCCAGCCGGCGGUGUUGAAGGCUUUGCAGCUGGGAUUACUGUUGCAG
rnacentral:lncRNA from 1 species